rnacentral:rRNA from 1 species
ACUCAAUAGAACCCGGGUAGUCCUGGCAGUAAACGGUGCACGUUUGGUGUGGGAGGUUUCGACCCCUUCCGCGCCGGAGCUAAACGCGUUAAAAACGUGCCGCCUGGGGAGUACGGUCGCAAGAUUAAAACUCAAAGAAAUUGACGGGGCCCGCACAAGCGGUGGAGUAUGUGGCUUAAUUCGAUGCAAACGCGAAGAACCUUACCUGGCCUUGACAUGCAUCUCUAAGUCGGUGAAAGCCGGCGACUGUAGCAAUACAGAAUUUGCACAGGUGCUGCAUGGCUGUCGUCAGCUCGUGUCGUGAGAUGUUGGGUU